CUGGCUUCAAGAGAUCAUCCUGCCUCGGCCUACCAAAGUGCUGGGAUUACAGUGCUGCGGUGCAAAUCCUGAGCCCAUGUAUAGGAAUUACUCUUUCGGGAUAUUUAUCUGAAAGUGGAACUGUUGGCUCAGAAGGCCCCAGGGCAUGAACCUCUCCAGCUUUGCUAGAUAUUGCCAAAUUGCUCUCCCAGAUAAGGAAAUGGAAGAAGUGACUUGUCCAAAGUCCACGAAUGUAGGUGGCAGAUCCAGGACUGGCCCGCUGUGUGCUGAUUCUAAAUCCAGCAUGCUUUCCUUCACUUGGGGCCCUGGCGUUGAGAGCUGGAUCUGGGAAUCAGAUGAUCAUGGUUCAGCGUGGUCUUGA